UACGUAGGUGGCAAGCGUUAUCCGGAUUUAUUGGGCGUAAAGGGAACGCAGGCGGUCUUUUAAGUCUGAUGUGAAAGCCUUCGGCUUAACCGGAGUAGUGCAUUGGAAACUGGGAGACUUGAGUGCAGAAGAGGAGAGUGGAGCUCCAUGUGUAGCGGUGAAAUGCGUAGAUAUAUGGAAGAACACCAGUGGCGAAAGCGGCUCUCUGGUCUGUAACUGACGCUGAGGUUCGAAAGCGUGGGUAGCAAAUAGG
rnacentral:rRNA from 1 species